rnacentral:rRNA from 1 species
UACGUAGGGUGCAAGCGUUAAUCGGAAUUACUGGGCGUAAAGCGUGCGCAGGCGGUUAUGCAAGACAGAUGGGAAAUCCCCGGGCUUAACCUGGGAACCGCAUUUGUGACUGCAUAGCUGGAGUACGGCAGAGGGGGAUGGAAUUCCGCGUGUAGCAGUGAAAUGCGUAGAUAUGCGGAGGAACACCGAUGGCGAAGGCAGUCCCCUGGGCCUGUACUGACGCUCAUGCGCGAAAGCUGGGGGAGCGAACGGG